rnacentral:rRNA from 1 species
AGGACGAACGCUGGCGGCGUGCCUAACACAUGCAAGUCGAACGAGAAAGUGGAGCAAUCCAUGAGUACAGUGGCGUACGGGUGAGUAACACGUGACUAACCUACCCUCGAGUGGGGAAUAACCUCGGGAAACCGGGGCUAAUACCGCAUAAUAUCUUCGGAUCAAAUGCGCAAGCAGCUUGAGGAGGGGGUCGCGGCCGAUUAGCUAGUUGGCGGGGUAAUGGCCCACCAAGGCAGUGAUCGGUAGCCGGCCUGAGAGGGCGCACGGCCACACUGGAACUGAAACACGGUCCAGACUCCUACGGGAGGCAGCAGUGGGGAAUUUUGCGCAAUGGGGGAAACCCUGACGCAGCAACGCCGCGUGGAGGAUGAAGCCCCUUGGGGUGUAAACUCCUUUCGAUCGGGACGAUUAUGACGGUACCGGAAGAAGAAGCACCGGCUAACUCUGCGCCAGCAGCCGC